CCGGGUUGCGGACAGUGUCUGGUGGGUAGUUUGACUGGGGCGGUCUCCUCCUAAAGAGUAACGGAGGAGCACGAAGGUUAGCUAAUCCUGGUCGGACAUCAGGAGGUUAGUGCAAUGGCAUAAGCUAGCUUGACUGCGAGAGUGACGGCUCGAGCAGGUGCGAAAGCAGGUCAUAGUGAUCCGGUGGUUCUGUAUGGAAGGGCCAUCGCUCAACGGAUAAAAGGUACUCCGGGGAUAACAGGCUGAUACCGCCCAAGAGUUCAUAUCGACGGCGGUGUUUGGCACCUCGAUGUCGGCUCAUCACAUCCUGGGGCUGAAGUAGGUCCCAAGGGUACGGCUGUUCGCCGUUUAAAGUGGUACGCGAGCUGGGUUUAGAACGUCGUGAGACAGUUCGGUCCCUAUCUGCCGUGGGCGCUGGAGAAUUGAGGGGGGCUGCUCCUAGUACGAGAGGACCGGAGUGGACGCAUCACUGGUGUUCGGGUUGUCAUGCCAAUGGCACUGCCCGGUAGCUAAAUGCGGAAAAGAUAAGUGCUGAAAGCAUCUAAGCACGAAACUUGCCCCGAGAUGAGUUCUCCCUGAGCCUUUAAGGCUCCUGAAGGAACGUUGAAGACGACGACGUUGAUAGGUCGGGUGUGUAAGCGCAGCGAUGCGUUGAGCUAACCGAUACUAAUGAACCGUGAGGCUUAACCUU
rnacentral:rRNA from 1 species